rnacentral:rRNA from 1 species
GAUGAACGCUGGCGGCGUGCCUAAUACAUGCAAGUCGAGCGAACGGACGAGAAGCUUGCUUCUCUGAUGUUAGCGGCGGACGGGUGAGUAACACGUGGAUAACCUACCUAUAAGACUGGGAUAACUUCGGGAAACCGGAGCUAAUACCGGAUAAUAUUAUGAACCGCAUGGUUCAAAAGUGAAAGACGGUCUUGCUGUCACUUAUAGAUGGAUCCGCGCUGCAUUAGCUAGUUGGUAAGGUAACGGCUUACCAAGGCAACGAUGCAUAGCCGACCUGAGAGGGUGAUCGGCCACACUGGAACUGAGACACGGUCCAGACUCCUACGGGAGGCAGCAGUAGGGAAUCUUCCGCAAUGGGCGAAAGCCUGACGGAGCAACGCCGCGUGAGUGAUGAAGGUCUUCGGAUCGUAAAACGCUGUUAUUAGGGAAGAACAUAUGUGUAAGUAACUGUGCACAUCUUGACGGUACCUAAUCAGAAAGCCACGGCUAACUACGU